CUUUAUUGAAAUGGGAAAGGUAUUCCCUCAAUGACUCUAAGGGGCCUUGUCGAAUGUUAAACAAGCUAAUGGUGAACAUUUUCAUGUGUUGAUUGGCUGGGAACUAGUGCACGAGUUUCUUCACCAACUCUUGAUAGCUGGAAAUGGAAGAUCGAGGAUAUGCCUAUGUAUCAUCGCAUGGCUGCAUCCUUCAAGGUCCCAUACUACAUCUUGCAUUUUAAAGAGUUGGGCUCUCCGAUGAUUUCAU
rnacentral:lncRNA from 1 species